ACUGCAUGUUGUGUCAAUGGCAACAACAUGGAAGGACAACCCAGCUGCAGCUGAAUCUCUUAGCCAAAACUUCCUGCCUGUGAACAGAGCUGCCUGUACAAGACAGAGGAGAGAGGCAAGAGGAUCCUGUCUGUCCAUCCCACCAUCAACAACAAAAAAGGAGGCUUAAGCCAGGAGACAAAAAGCAGUCCUACAUUUUAAGGCAGGCAGCAUCUACCCCAAAAGGCUGAACCUGGAGAUAAGCUUUACAUCUUUCAGCAGUGUGAAGUUGAGUAUUGCCAAUUGCUUUGAAGAAGUCUCUAACCGUAAAUAUCAUGAGCCACAUUGCCCUACAAGCCAGAAGGGAAAUUGGAGACAGAAGUAAAAGACUGACUCCCAACAUGAUAAAGAGACAGGAGAAUUGAAGGAAAAUCUGCAGGACCCUGCCAGGUGUGGUUUGUGGGACUGAGCAACACAAAUCAGAAGGUCCUGGAGCGCAUCCAUUUUACCACUAACACAGCAGCUUCCUGUUGGGAAGAAGAGAACAAAGUGCAUUAAUCCAGUACCUGAUAGUCCUGGGAUCACUGAAACAAUCACUGAUUGAAGCAAUGUUCUGACAGGCACUUCUGUAAGCUACUUGAAGCAGCUUCAAGACUCAAGACACUAGAAGAGACAACCAUGCCCAUAUUCUAGAGAUAAAACAGUUGGAGCAUCAGUUCUAAACUACCUAAAUCUGGUACAAUUCUUCAAAAAUAAAAUGGAAAAGAUCUUAAAAGGACAUU